GCAAGUCGAACGAGAACGGGCUUUAGUUUACUAAAGUUGUCAGCUAAGUGGCGCACGGGUGAGUAAUAUAUAGUUAACCUGCCCUAGAGAAGGGGAUAACGUUUGGAAACGAACGCUAAUACCCUAUAUGCCUUUAAGUCAUAAGACUGCAAGGGAAAUAUUUAUAGCUCUAGGAUGGGACUGUACGGUAUCAGCUUGUUGGUGAGGUAAUGGCUCACCAAGGCAAUGACGCCUAACUGGUUUGAGAGGAUGAUC
rnacentral:rRNA from 1 species